AACGAACGCUGGCGGCAUGCCUAACACAUGCAAGUCGAACGAGACCUUCGGGUCUAGUGGCGCACGGGUGCGUAACGCGUGGGAACCUGCCCUUAGGUUCGGAAUAACUCCCCGAAAGGGGUGCUAAUACCGGAUAAUGUCUUCGGACCAAAGAUUUAUCGCCUUUGGAUGGGCCCGCGUUGGAUUAGCUAGUUGGUAGGGUAAAAGCCUACCAAGGCGACGAUCCAUAGCUGGUCUGAGAGGAUGAUCCGCCACACUGGGACUGAGACACGGCCCAGACUCCUACGGGAGGCAGGAGUGGGGAAUAUUGGACGAUGGGGGAAAGCCUGGUACAGCCAUGCCGCGUGAGUGAUGAAGGCGUUAGGGUUGUAAAGCUCUUUUACCCGGGAUGAUAAUGACAGUACCGGGAGAAUAAGCACCGGCUAACUACGUG
rnacentral:rRNA from 1 species